AGGAAGACAUUUUUGCAUUGGACUUUGAUAGUGCUGUGCCCAUUUUUCAAGACCUGGUCCAUUUUCAAUCUCCAAAGUGGAAAAUUGCUUGUGAGGUCACCAUGGUGCAGGAAUGGUGUAUGGGGCAGACAUGCAGCACAUCUAACAACAAGGAUGCCUCACAAUGGAAAAAUGCAAAAUGAAGGAAAUUUAUUGCCCUCACCUGGUCUACCCUAUGUGAUCCGGACCCCAGCAAUAUG